GCCAGUGUGGUGUAACCGUUUGAGUGUUGGACUUUGACUCUGGAGACCAGGGUUCGAGUCCCUGCUUGGCCA